GGGAAACUUACCAGGUCCAGACACAGGAAGGAUUGACAGAUUGAUAGCUCUUUCUUGAUUCUGUGGGUGGUGGUGCAUGGCCGUUCUUAGUUGGUGGAGUGAUUUGUCUGGUUAAUUCCGAUAACGAACGAGACCUCAGCCGGCUAAAUAGCCACACUCGCCCUUCGGGGCGGGUGCCUAUUCACGGCUUCUUAGAGGGACUACCAGGGUCGCACCUGGUGGAAGUUUGAGGCAAUAACAGGUCUGUGAUGCCCUUAGAUGUUCUGGGCCGCACGCGCGCUACACUGACGCCGUCAACAAGCUCAUCCUGGGCCGAAAGGUUUGGGUAAUCUUUGAAACGGCGUCGUGAUGGGGAUUGAUCUUUGUAAUUAUUGAUCAUGAACGAGGAAUACCUAGUAAGCGCAAGUCAUCAGCUUGCGUUGAUUACGUCCCUGCCCUUUGUACACACCGCCCGUCGCUCCUACCGAUUGAAUGAUCCGAUGAAAUGCUUGGACUGUUUGGCUGCGGCUGCGCAAGCGGCCGUGGUUGGGCGGGAAGAGCAGUGAAUCUUAUCAUUUAGAGGAAGGAGAAGUCGU
rnacentral:rRNA from 1 species